UACGUAGGGCGCGAGCGUUGUCCGGAAUUAUUGGGCGUAAAGAGCUCGUAGGUGGCUUGUCGCGUCUGCCGUGAAAGCCCGUGGCUUAACUACGGGUCUGCGGUGGAUGCGGGCAGGCUAGAGGCUGGUAGGGGCAAGCGGAAUUCCUGGUGUAGCGGUGAAAUGCGCAGAUAUCAGGAGGAACACCGGUGGCGAAGGCGGCUUGCUGGGCCAGUUCUGACGCUGAGGAGCGAAAGCGUGGGGAGCGAACAGG
rnacentral:rRNA from 1 species